AUGAUAAACAUGCUGAAUAGGGACAUGUCUGGAACGAUGGGCUUUGCCGAGUUCAAGGAUCUGUGCCAGGCCCUGAACGGCUGGAAAGCCACCUUUUCAUCCUUCGAUCGGGACCACAGCGGCACAGUGGAGGGCCAUGAGCUGCAGCAGGCCAUCACUACCAUGGGUAUGGACUGAUUUUAAUGAUUUUUAUU